rnacentral:rRNA from 1 species
GCGCAGCAGGCGCGAAACUUCACACUGUGCGAAAGCACGAUGAGGGAAUCCCAGGUGCUUGCACGUAAGUGUAAGCUGUUUCUCUGUUUAAAACGCAGAGAGAGUAAGGGCUGGGUAAGACGGGUGCCAGCCGCCGCGGUAAUACCUGCAGCUCAAGUGGUGACCGUUAUUAUUGGGCCUAAAACGUCCGUAGCCGGUUUAAUAAAUGCCUGGGUAAAUCGUGUAGCUUAACUAUACGAAUUCCGGGUAGACUGUUAAACUCGAGACCGGGAGAAGUUAGAGGUACUCCUGGGGUAGAGGUGAAAUUCUGUAAUCCUAGGGGACCACCAGUGGCGAAGGCGUCUAACUAGAACGGGUCUGACGGUGAGGGACGAAGCCCUGGGGCGCAAACGGGAUUAGAUACCCCUGUAGU